AAUCCUGGCUCAGGAUGAACGCUAGCUACAGGCUUAACACAUGCAAGUCGAGGGGCAGCAUGGUCUUAGCUUGCUAAGGCCGAUGGCGACCGGCGCACGGGUGAGCAACACGUAUCCAACCUGCCGUCUACUCUUGGACAGCCUUCUGAAAGGAAGAUUAAUACAAGAUGGCAUCAUGGGUCCGCAUGUUCACAUGAUUAAAGGUAUUCCGGUAGACGAUGGGGAUGCGUU
rnacentral:rRNA from 1 species